GUGCUUGCUUUGGCAGCAUGCAUACUAAAACCAGAAUGAUACAGAGAUUAGCGUAGCCCCUACGCAAGGGUGAUGCACACAUUUCCAUAUCAAAAUAUAUUUUA